CCCUCGCUCAACAAAUCGCAAUUCGAAGCUCACGCACGGAGACACUGCCAAUUGGCGGCGUCUCGCAAACACGCUUUGGGAGAAAGUCCCCGGACGACUCCUCUCGGGGAGCUUGCGGAAACGCGCCGCCAUAAAAGCACUGCGGCUGACCUCUGCGCCUUUGGCCCUCCUGCGGGCUGCGGCCCUGUCCUCCGCCACAUCUGCCUCCUUCGCGUCUUCGCCGAGCCCGUCUGGUCCGUGUCCGGACACCACGGAUGAAGAUAUGAGUCCGAGCCGGUCGCUUGCUGGCGGGACCUCUGCGGCGGGCGCGUGGCUGCGGAUGGAGGGCAACCGUCGCGGUCGCGGGAGCGGUGUCGGGAGCAGAGGACUAGUUGUCGAGGUCCAUAGUUAUGCGAUUGCUCGGCACAUGCUGGGUUACUCGAUGGGGCUUAUUCUUGAGGCGAGG
rnacentral:RNase_MRP_RNA from 2 species